rnacentral:lncRNA from 1 species
CUGGACUGAGAUUGCCACAGCUGCUGAGCGUGAUGAUGACUGAGAAGCCAUCUAGGUCAAGCACCAGGGUCUGGUUGCUGACUCUCUGCCAGUGUGCUCCAGUUCAGACCCAAGCAAUUCACCUUGCAUUUGCCUGAGUGAAGAAAACAGGAUUUCUAGAAAGUUAACGGCAGCAGAGCACGCAUACCUAAGGGCAGUAGUUGGCCUACUUUAUUCCAUUUCAAUGUGUCUAAGCUUUUUGUUACACCAUAUAAAUAUGGAACUGAAGCUUCUUGUGUUUAAAUUACCCAAUACCUCUUUUCUUCUUGUUUUUUCAGACAUAAGGUCUUUCUUUACUGCUGUCUUUGGGUUCCGUCUCAAAUCAUCUCCUGUUGUAAUUGCACAACUCAUACAAUGGAAAGCUUCUAUAGAACUGCCAGGAAUGUCUGUACAUCUUUUCAAGUGUAAAUUAAAAAAAAAAAACUUGAUUCAAGGCUAUUACAGUUGCGUAAGUAUCCAAUCUCAUUCACCUUCUAUAAAAGAGUCAGAUAAAGUUGUUAAAUGAGCUCAACAGAGCAGGAUGAUCCAAAAUGAAAAAAAAAAAAUCAGAGCUUUUUCUGAGUGCUCAAUAGAAAGGCUAGCCAGACAGCUUGAAGGAAAGGGGCAAAGAGGGCUUGUGUUCUUCUGCCUAAUUGCAGGCUGCAUCCUGUGUCGGCACCCCCAUGGGACUGCAGAGAACGGGAAAUAGAAAUGCACAUCUCUGCACCAACAUCGGGGAAAUGAUCAUUCCUGGGAGAUGAAAAUCUGCACAUGGCACCGUAAGCCUAACAUCUGUGUCUGGAGGCUGCAAUCGCCUGAGUCUAGCCAGGAGAAAAUGCAGAAACUCUGCUUGGUCUUUUCUCCAUUGACUGUGACAACCAAAAUAAGUGACUGAGACGUAAGUCUCAAUUAUCGAGGUUUAUGAAGACACCUGCUUUAGGGUGCGUCUGGGAAAAACAAGAGCUACAGACACAUCUGUGGCUGUUUCUCUGAAGAGGUUUUCAGGAGAGUUAGUAUUUAUUUGUACAUUUCCUUAAACGGGGGAAAGGAAUGUAAGAAGAGAGGCAGGUAGGCAGUAAAACACUCCUCUGAGACUUUAGUUACUGCCCAGUGAAUUUUACAUAAGGUGAAUGUCUGAAGAGAAAAAGGGGAUAAAGAAAGAGGUGAUUAUGCAGAUGUCUCUGGGUAGGUGGAGGAAUGACUGAUCACAUCCUGUCUUUUCUCUGCACCUGGAAAAAUAAGCUUGUAAUCAACAGUAUCAGUGUGGAAUCAACAGACUUUACUCUUAUGAUCUGGACUUAGAUUAUAGGCCUAAAGUUACACUUGGUAUGCCCUGUUUAUGGGAGGCCAGCAAAGCAUUUACUUAUGAAUGAUUGGUGGGGCAGCCCUUCCAGAUGCCCGAGGCCUUUUCCUUUCCAUGGGGAUUUGGCUGAAGCAUGAUGUUAGUAACAGCCAUGCAUUUGGAAGAAAGGGUUGCAUGACUCAGCCUCCGGGCUCAAGCUUCCCUUUUGAAGUUUGGGAGUCUUGAAGAUUUUUUAUUUUCCUUUACAACUGCAAAGCAACAAGGGGCCUGCUGCCUGGCUAUGGAGACCCAGCCUUGGGGAGGCAGUGCUGCAUGGAGGACCGGCAAUGCCAUCUUCCUGCCUGGUGUGUGGACUUUCUUGAGGAAACAUCCAUGGUGCUGAAGGCUAGGGCACCCUCCCUGAGCUCCUGUAGAGACCUCCCUGGGCUCCCAAACUGGCCUUCACUUUUGCUUCCCACGCCCAGGCAACAGAAGCAGAGCAAGUCUCUCUUGUCACCUCAGGGUUAACUUUGGACACCUUUCAUUUCACCCCACAAAGGCCCUUGCUGUGCCUUUGCUUCCUCAGUGCCUUCUGCCUAUGACAGCUGUAGGCAUCAGUGUAAACUGGAUUGUGCACUAGGCACAAAUGGACACAAGUUAUUUCUGGAUGUGGAUGAUGAAAUACCAUGGUCCUGCUCCCUGCUCAGAACGUUCAGAUGAAACCAACGCACACUGGACCACCGUGCCUGCAGCCCAAGUUCUGAGUACAGUUUGGUGAAGUCUUGACCAAUAUAUACACCUGAGCAACCAUCAUCACAAUCAAGACAAGUGCAUCCAUCACUGCUGAGUGUCCGCACUCCCCUCGGCACUCUCCCUCCUACCUCCCUGUGCAGCCCCAGCCCCAUGUCUGAGCAAUCCCUGAUCUGCUUCCUGCUGCUCUGUCACUGGAGUCUAGUUUGCAUUGUCUACAAUUUUAUGUAAAUGGAACCAUAUAGUAUUGUGCUUCUUUUGCCUAUGUUCUUUCACACAGUAUAAUUAUUUCAAGAUUAUUGCAAGUUGUGGCAUGCAUUACUAGGUCAUUCUUCUUUAUGGCUGACUAGUGUUUUAUUGCAUGAAUACACCUGUUUAUUUGUCCCUUCUCCUGUUGGCGGGCAUUUGAGUUAUUUCCAAGUUUUGUUCAUUACAAAUGAGGCUAGCAUUAAUAAUAGUGCAUUAAUCUUUAUAUGCUUUCAGCUCUCGUGGGUAAAUAUUAGGAGUGGAAGGGCUGAAUCACAUGGAAGUUGUAUAAACCUUUCAAGAAACUUCCACAUUUGUUUCCAAAGGGCUUGCGCCUUUUUAUAUUUCUACUGUUGCCAGUAGGCCAGUUCAGAUUCUUUUUUUUAAUUUAAUUUAAGUUCCAGGAUACAUGUGCAGGACGUGCAGGUUUGUUACAUAGGAAAAUGUGUGCCACGGUGGUUUGCUGCACCUGUCAACCCAUCACCUAGGUAUUAAGCCCAGCAUGCAUUAGCUAUGUAUCCUAAUGCUCUUCCUCCCCCUGCACCCUCAACAAGCCCCAGUGUAUGUUGUUCCCCUCCCUGUGUCCAUGUGUUCUCAUUGUUGAACUCCCACUUACAUGUGAGUUACAUGGGGUAUUUGAUUUUCUGUUCCUGUGUUAGUUUGCUGAGGGUAAUGGCUUCCAGAUUCAUUCAUGUCCCUGCAGAGGCCAUGAUCUCAUUCCUUUUUAUUGCUACAUAAUAUUCCAUGGUGUAUAUGUACCACAUUUUCUUUAUACAGUCUAUCAUUGAUGGGCAUUUGGGUUGAUUCCAUGUCUUUGCUAUUGUGAAUAGUGCUUCAAUGAACAUACGAGUGCAUAUAUCUUUAUAAUAGAAUGAUUUAUAUUUCUUUGGGUAUAUACUCAGUAACAGAAUUGCUGGGCCGAAUGGUAUUUCUGCCUCUAGGUCUCUGAGAAAUCACCACACUGUCUUCUACAAUGGCUGAACUAAUUCACAUUCCCACCAACAGUGUAAAAGCGUUCCUAUUUCUCCACAGCCCCUCCAACAUCUGUUGUUUCUUGACUUUUUAAUAAUAGCCAUUCUGAAUGGUGUGAGAUGUUGUUUUGCUUUGUAUUUCUCUAAGGAUCAGUGAUGUUGAGCUUUUUUUUCAUAUGUUUGUUGGCUGGAUGUACAUCUUCUUUUGAGAAGUGUCUGUUCAUGUCCUCUGCCAAAUUUUAAUAGGGUUAUUUGUUUAUUUCUUGUAAAUCUGUUUAAGUUCCUUGUAGAUUCUGGAUAUUAGACCUUUGUCAGAUGGAUAGAUUGCAAAAAUCUUCUCCCAUUCUGUAGGUUGCCUGUUCACUCCGAUGACAGUUUCUUUUGCUGUGCAGAAGCUCUUUAGUUUAAUUAGAUCCCAUUUGUCAAUUUUGGCUUUUGUUGCAAUUGCUUUUGGUGUUUUUGUCAUGAAAUCUUUGCCCGUGCCUAUGUCCUGAAUGGUAUUUUCUAGAUUUUCUUCUAGGGUUUUUAUAGUUUUGGAUUUUACAUUUAAGUCUUUAAUCCAUUUUGAGUUAAUUUUUGCAUAAGGUGUAAAGAAGGGGUCCAGUUUCAAUUUUCGGCAUAUGGCUAACUUGUUUUCCCAGUGACUUUGCCACACAAAAUAAUUUUAGAGCAAGUCCAAAGUAAGAGUAAGCCAAUAAAUUUAUUACAAAGCAAAUGUACAUGCUGAGAGACAGAGCAGGCUGCUUAAGGUGAGAGACAGCAGCUAGUGCCUUAAGAGGAAUUCUUUUUAUGGGAGCUGUUCAUAUAUAUUCAAAAAAUUCCUGUGAGGUACAAAGUGUGCAAAGUAUUCAAAGGUAGACGUGAGGUUGGUGCAUGUGCUCAGUAACUACAAACUCUAAGAUGCAUCACACGUAUCAUUAGCAUUGAAAAUCCCUACCUAUGGGUGUGCUUUUUACUGCUAAGAUGAGGAAAAGUUUACUAUAAGCUAAACCUUGAGCCUAGCUGCACAUGUGGGACCCAGAGAAGUCCCUGCCCCCACCCUCCUCCCAGGUAGGAAUUUGUAGCAAAAAGUUCCUUGAGCUUUUUGUGCUGAUUGGCUAGAGAGUGGGGAAGCUAAAUCAGAAAUAAGGGAUUUUUGUUCUCUUUCUUGGGCCCUUAUUGGAUAUCAGGAAUGUGCAACCAUCUGGCAGUUGACUGGUGUCCUGUAGGCUGCUUACCUGGUGUCGUGUAGGGCUGCUUACCUGGUGUCCUUCAGGGCUGCAUACCUGGUGUCCUGCAGGGCUGUGUACCUGGUGUCCUGCAGGGCUGUGUACUUAGUGUCUCACAGGGCUGCUUACCUGGUGUCCUGCAGGGCUGCUUACAUUGCAAAACAGUUAGAUGCUGACACACCAUGAGGGUGCAAGUGCAAGGAGCCAGCUGCAUGUGAAAGGGGCCCAAGGGGCUUCAUGCAAGGGGACAAGUCAGUAUGGCCUCCCAACCUCACUCAUCCUGCCUCACUAACAGCAGUGAGAAAGAGUUCCAGUUGUUCCAUAUCCUCACAUGCACUUGGUGUGGCCAGUCUUUUUAACUUCUAGCCAUUCUAAUAUAAGUAAAAAUGGUAUCUCAUUGUGAUUUUAAUUUGCAUUGUCUUAAUGACUAAUGAUGUUGAACAAUUUUUUGUGUGUUUAUUUACCUACAUAUAUAAUUUUUAUGAAAGUGUCUGUUAAAUAUCUGAAGAAGAAAAUAUCUCCCAACUUACUGUAUGAGGCCAAUAUUACCCAGAUAACCAAGUAAUGUUCAUUUCCAGGAAUGCAAACCUUGUUUGUCAUCAAUCAUGUUAAGCAACUAGCAAAGAAAGAAUACAUGAUAAUCCCAACAGAUAUAGAAAACCUAUUUGGCAAAAUCCAACAUGUAUUCCUGAUUUAAAAAAAAAUCUUUCAGUGAAUUAGGAAUAAAGGGAAGUUUCUUUACUUGAAAAAAUACAUCUAUGUAUGUAUGUAUAUGUGUAUAUAUGUAUGUAUGUUUGUAUGUAUGUAUCUAUCUAUCUAUCUACCUACAGAUAGCAUCAUGCCUAAUGGAAGAAAAAGGCUGAAUAUUUUCCCCCUAAACUGAGGAACAAGACUGGGGUGUCCUCUUCUGCCAUUUGUAUUCGACCUUGUACUGAAGGUUCUAAAACCGUGCAGUAAGGCAAGAAAAAUGAAUAAAAUGCAUUGUGAUUAGAAAGGGAAGAGUACAAUGUCUUUAUUCAUGAACGUCAUGUCUACGUAAAACAUUAGGUGGAAUGUACCAGAAAUCUUUAUUUAUUUUAUUUUAUUUAUUUAAUUUUUGAGACAGAAUCUCACUUGUCACCCAGGCUGGAGUGCAGUGGCACGAUAGCUACUUACUGCAACCUGUGCCUCCCAGGUUCAAGCGAUUCUC